UACGUAGGGUCCGAGCGUUGUCCGGAAUUAUUGGGCGUAAAGGGCUCGUAGGCGGUUUGUCACGUCGGGAGUGAAAACUCAGGGCUCAACCCUGAGCGUGCUUCCGAUACGGGCAGACUAGAGGUAUGCAGGGGAGAACGGAAUUCCUGGUGUAGCGGUGGAAUGCGCAGAGUAUCAGGAGGAACACCGGUGGCGAAGGCGGUUCUCUGGGCAUUACCUGACGCUGAGGAGCGAAAGCAUGGGGAGCGAACAGG
rnacentral:rRNA from 1 species